GUAGGUGAACCUGCGGAAGGAUCAUUACCUAGAGUUUGUGGGCUUUGCCCGCUACCUCUUACCCAUGUCUUUUGAGUACUUACGUUUCCUCGGCGGGUCCGCCCGCCGAUUGGACAAAAUUAAACCCUUUGCAGUUGCAAUCAGCGUCUGAAAAACAUAAUAGUUACAACUUUCAACAACGGAUCUCUUGGUUCUG
rnacentral:misc_RNA from 1 species